UUUAGCCAAUCAAGUCUGUGCAUUUCUGAAGUAAACACUGCUAGUAAUGAUGGGAAGUCCGGUUCUUUUCCGCAAACCGGUUCUUUCGGACAGUUCAUUUUAAUGAACCAGUUCAAUAAUCCAGUUCAUGAUGUAAUUCACAAUGACAUCAUGACGUAAAUUCCUUCAUCCCACCUCUGCUGGCAGAUAAUAAUACAAUCAAUUUACCACAUUUGAAAAGUUCUUUGUAAUCAUAACUGUAGAUGAAUACGUUUCUUGCAUUUAAGUUUUGCAACUAAAACACCCAGUACAGGCAUUGAUGUGCAAACGUGGGUGUUUUACAUGUACAUGUCGUAAAGAUAUAAAGUUAAUAAACUAAUCUUCAUCAAAUUACAAAAACUUACAAAAAAAAGCAUAAUUUUGAAAUGUUUCUUUCGCUCCAUCAGUUGUUUCAAAAACUAAUGCAACUGAGUUAAAACACUCAUAUGUUGAUAAGACAUUAAAUCAUAACCUUUCCAUUUGUUGCUGUAUCAGUUCAGUGAUUUAUGCAGGUGUGACGUGCAAUAUCUUUUUAGGUUUGGUUUUUAUUUUAAUGGGGGGAUUCCGGGUCCGGAGACACGCCCACUGCUGCUGAGCUGCGCAUCAACAUGGAGCACACCUGUGACACAUAAUUAGUGCAGCAUGCUAGUGGUUUUAUAAAAAGCACAUUGGAGUGGGGCUGUUUAAUUUCUCUUCCGUGUGCAUCUUGUGUGGGCAGAAAAGGUCUUUUGGCUAUAUUUUCCUGUCGCUUUCCCCUGGUGCGGCCAAAGAGCGCUAGCUGCUGUUUCUAAUGGCUGUUUCUAGCUGCUGUUUCUAGUUGCUGUUUUAAGCUGCCGUUUUAUUACGGCUAUUUUCUUAGUUGCUGUUCUGAUUAUUGCUGUUUGUUUUUAUGAGCUGUUUUAAACUUGACUCAUUAUUGGGUUACAGUCGGCAUAGUGCGGACGUUGCAGCGGUGAACACUAUAUCUUGAAUACUGGGAUGAUACGUCAGUACUGCAUUGCUGUAUGUUUAUUCUGAGUACAAGUUUAUCGAAUUAACCGGUUUUGUAUUUCUUUCUUUCAAACAGUUUUGGUGCUCUUUCAAUUAAUCUGUUUUUACCGGUUAUCACUGGACUGUCAUUUGUAUUGUUUUCUUUUCUUUUGCGUCUUUUGUUUGAGUGUCUGUUUACCGCAUAUAUAUCCACCUCUGACUAUCGGACAACGAACUGUGAUUAGUGAGGCUUAACAGAGGGAGUGUAUGUUUGUCGUCCUUUUGGUUCAUCCCUUUUUUCCUUGGUUUAUCAGUGUUUAUUAUUAUGCACUGCUUUGUUGUGUGGUGUGUCCCUCUUUGUUAAGGCGGACCUAGUCUAGUUGUUUUCUCCAUUGUUGGUAACUAAUUGGUAAACUGUACACUUGUAUCUUAAUGUUUUUAGGAACAAAUGGUUUUCCUUUUAUCUUUUUUUUGUAAAAUAAAGUUGUACUCAUUUAUUGGAA